rnacentral:rRNA from 1 species
UACGUAGGUGGCAAGCGUUGUCCGGAUUUAUUGGGCGUAAAGCGAGCGCAGGCGGUUCCUUAAGUCUGAUGUGAAAGCCCACGGCUCAACCGUGGAAGGUCAUUGGAAACUGGGGAACUUGAGUGCAGAAGAGGAGAGUGGAAUUCCAUGUGUAGCGGUGAAAUGCGUAGAUAUAUGGAGGAACACCAGUUGCGAAGGCGACUCUCUGGUCUGUAACUGACGCUGAGGAUCGAAAGCGUGGGGAGCAAACAGGAUUAGAUA